AACUUAUGUUGAGAAGAUUUACACAGGAGACCCUUGAACCUUUCCCAUGACUCAAAAAGAGAAUCUCAUUCCAUUUGCACAAAAGAAGAGAUCUCAUUCCUCAGCUU